AGGCCAAACUGGGUCAGCAGUGACUUGGCUUUCUCGAUCACGAUGAUGAGUGGAUGCCCAGAUGUGCAAGGACAUCUGGCAGCCCAGAGAAGGAGGGCCUGGGUGGAGGCGUGGUGGGGAAAUGGGGGUUGGGGGGGGCGGUUGGGAGGGGGCAAGCAGAAACUGCCUGGUGGUUUCCAGACAGAACAGGGCCAUGAGCAGGGCCGCUUCAGCUCUGGCUCGCUACAGAGACCAGGAAACCAGCCCCAGGAUGGUGGUGGUGGGGGGGGGCACUGUGUUGGCAGGAGGGACAGGGACUUCCCUGGCCCCCCCUCCCUUCGGCCCAUGGUAAAUGGUCAUUGUGUUUGGUUUCCGGCAGUGGCCUCCUCUUCUGCCAGGACCCUGGUUUUCCUGCCCCAGCCAGAAGCUUCCCCUUUGAUUUCUAAACAGCGGCCAUGGCCUGGAUCUCAGCGCUGAGGCCGGGUGAGGGAGAGUAGCAGCUAAAGAGGGAGACAGAAAGGGGGAGGGGAAGCAGGGAGAUGGAGGGAAGGCAGACCCCUGGGCAGGGGUAAGGGCUCAGAUCUGCCUCUCCCUCGGUUCCUCGACCCUCCAGGAUGCAGAUGGACAGGGAGGGAGGCAUAGAAGCCACAAAGGCCCGCCCCACCCAGGCCAGGAACCUGCCCGGCCCCUGUGCGCACGCACGCCGGACCCUCCCAGCACACAAAGCCGGAGCCACUGCCAGACAUAAUGAAAGUCAGAUGAGCACUGGGCUGGUGUCAGGCCUCCCACCCCCACCCUCCCUGGGGGGCUGCUUCAGCCGCCAAAGAAGACUGGAGCUGUGGGUGGAUGAGGGUUGGAGGACUCGCCUGGCCCCGCCAUCCGCCACGCUCAGGAGGAGUCUCCCAGACCCACAGUCGCCUCAGCGAGCUCCCCACCCCAUCUUUCCCCCAUGCGGGGCACAGAGACAUGCUUUAUCCUCGGGCAAAUACCCAUCUAGGCCCCGUCUAGGCACUGGGGAUGCAGAGGCACAAGAUCCAGGCUGGCAAUCUCCAGCAAUUACAAGGGAGCGGCCUGGAAAGCGAGCUCAAGCCCAUUUUACAGCUGAAAAGGGGCCCGUGCAGGCCAAGUGACUCAAGGGGGUUGGGGGAUUCCACCUGCUCCCAGCACGUCUCCAACCUUGAAGGUCCAGGUGCUGGGGUUGGGGCCCAGGGGACAGGGGACCACGUUAAACACAACCCUUGAGGAUGCAAUCCACAAACUCCAGACUGUGGGAAUCUCGACGGGACAAACCACCCAGUUUCUUCAACAGAUGCAUUUCGGGGGAAAAAGUAAUGGGAAAACCACAGAUUAAAAGAAAGGUAAGAGACAUCA